rnacentral:rRNA from 1 species
AUUGAACGCUGGCGGCAGGCCUAACACAUGCAAGUCGAACGAGUGGCGGACGGGUGAGUAAUGUCUGGGAAACUGCCUGAUGGAGGGGGAUAACUACUGGUAACGGUAGCUAAUCCCGCAUACCAUCAGAUGUGCCCAGAUGGGAUUAGCUAGUUGGUGGGGUAACGGCUCACCAAGGCGACGAUCCCUAGCUGGUCUGAGAGGAUGACCAGCCACACUGGAACUGAGACACGGUCCAGACUCCUAAGGGUGGCAGAAGUGGGGAAUAUGGCACCAUGGGCGCAAGCCUGAUGCAGCCAUGCCGCGUGUAUGAAGACGGCCUUCGGGUUGUAAAGUACUUUCAGCGGGGAGGCGUUACCCGCAUAAGAAGCACCGGCUAACUCCGUUCAAGCAGCCGCUGUAAUAC